rnacentral:pre_miRNA from 1 species
GGGUCCAAGCUGGAGAGCCAGGGCACAUGCAAAAUUUCUCAGAUUUUUGUCUGAUUGCUUUAGCAUGUGCCCUGCUUCUCCAGCAUGGCUUA